AUUGAACGCUGGCGGCAGGCCUAACACAUGCAAGUCGGACGGUAGCACAGAGGAGCUUGCUCCUCGGGUGACGAGUGGCGGACGGGUGAGUAAUGUCUGGGGAUCUGCCCGAUAGAGGGGGAUAACCACUGGAAACUGUGGCUAAUACCGCAUAACGUCGCAAGACCAAAGAGGGGGACCUUCGGGCCUCUCACUAUCGGAUGAACCCAGAUGGGAUUAGCUAGUAGGCGGGGUAAUGGCCCACCUAGGCGACGAUCCGUAGCUGGUCUGUGAGGAUGACCAGCCACACUGGAACUGAGACACGGUCCAGACUCCUACGGGAGGCAGCAGUGGGGAAUAUUGCACAAUGGGCGCAAGCCUGAUGCAGCCAUGCCGCGUGUAUGAAGAAGGCCUUCGGGUUGUAAAGUACUUUCAGCGGGGAGGAAGGCGGUGAGGUUAAUAGCCUCACCGAUUGACGUUACCCGCAGAAGAAGCACCGGCUAACUCCGUGCCAGCCGCCGCGGUAA
rnacentral:rRNA from 1 species